UNCCUCCUAUCGUUCAGUUCUACUGUGCC
rnacentral:piRNA from 1 species